rnacentral:tRNA from 1 species
GGAGAGGUGUCCGAGCGGUUUAAGGAGUUUGACUCGAAAUCAAUUGUACGGCAACGUACCGUGGGUUCGAAUCCCACCCUCUCCGCCA